ACACUCCUGCGGGAGGCAGCAGUGGGGAAUAUUGGACAAUGGGCGCAAGCCUGAUCCAGCCAUGCCGCGUGAGUGAUGAAGGCCCUAGGGUUGUAAAGCUCUUUCACCGGUGAAGAUAAUGACGGUAACCGGAGAAGAAGCCCCGGCUAACUUCGUGCCAGCAGCCGCGGUAAUACGAAGGGGGCUAGCGUUGUUCGGAUUUACUGGGCGUAAAGCGCACGUAGGCGGACUAUUAAGUCAGGGGUGAAAUCCCGGGGCUCAACCCCGGAACUGCCUUUGAUACUGGUAGUCUUGAGUUCGAGAGAGGUGAGUGGAAUUCCGAGUGUAGAGGUGAAAUUCGUAGAUAUUCGGAGGAACACCAGUGGCGAAGGCGGCUCACUGGCUCGAUACUAACGCUGAGGUGCGAAAGCGUGGGGAGCAAACAGGAUUAGAUACCCGAGUAGUCCC
rnacentral:rRNA from 1 species